GCGGAUAUAGCUCAGCUGGAUAGAGCGACGCUCUCCUAAAGCGUAGGCCUGGCGUUCGAAUCGCCAUAUUCGCA
rnacentral:tRNA from 1 species